rnacentral:rRNA from 1 species
AAUCAACCGAGAUUCCGCUAGUAGUGGCGAGCGAACGCGGAAGAGGGCAAACCGGAGGAUUUAUCCUCCGGGGUUGUGGACAGUUUUUUAGCAACUGGAACUAGGAGAACGGUAUGGGAAGGCCGGCCAUAGCGGGUGAUAGCCCCGUAUCCGAAAGGGAAGGUUGUGCGACUGGAUCCAGAGUACCGCCGGACACGUGAAACCCGGUGGGAAGCUGGGGGGACCACCCUCCAACCCUAAAUACUACCUGAUGACCGAUAGAGGAGCAGUACCGUGAGGGAAAGGUGAAAAGGACCCCGGGAGGGGAGUGAAAGAGAACCUGAAACCUUGUGCUUACAAGCACUCAAAGCCCGUUAAAGGGUGAUGAGGUACCUUUUGUAGAAUGGUCCGGCGAGUUAUUGUUACUGGCAAGCUUAAGGCAUUCAGUGCCGGAGGCGCAGGGAGACCGAGUCUGAAUAGGGCGUAUGAAGUCAGUGGCAAUAGACCCGAAACCGGGUGACCUAUCCAUGGGCAGGUUGAAGUGGGGGUAAAACCCCAUGGAGGACCGAACGCACGCCCGUUGCAAUGGUCGGCGAUGACCUGUGGAUAGCGGUGAAAUUCCAAUCGAACUCGGAGAUAGCUGGUUCUCCCCGAAAUAGCUUUAGGGCUAGCGUUGUGUUAGUUUACCGGAGGUAGAGCACUGAAUUGGCUAAGGGGCGAUGAGCUUACUGAACCUUAUCAAACUUCGAAUGCCGGAUAAAUGGUGCACAGCAGUCAGACAGUGUGAGAUAAGUUUCAUUGUCAAGAGGGAAACAGCCCAGACCCACAGCUAAGGUCCCAAAUGAACGCUAAGUGGAAAACGAUGUGGGGUUGCAGAAACAACCAGGAUGUUGGCUUAGAAGCAGCCACUCAUUAAAAGAGUGCGUAAUAGCUCACUGGUCGAGUGACUCUGCGCGGAAAAUAUAACGGGGCUAAGCGUAACACCGAAGCUUGGGCUGCACAGCAAUGUGCGGGGUAGGGGAGCGUCGAAUAUGGGGUGAAGUCGCAGCGGAAGCAGCGGUGGACUGUAUUCGAGUGAGAAUGCCGGAAUGAGUAGCGAGAAUUAUGUGGGAAUCAUAAUGGCCGAAAAUCUAAGGUUUCCUGGGGAAGGUUCGUCCGCCCAGGGUAAGCCGGGAGCUAAGGCGAGGCCGAAAGGCGUAGUCGAUGCACAUACGGUUGAAAUUCCGUAGCCGCCGAAAUUGUUAAGCACAGGGACACAUAGAGAUAUCCGAACCCGGGCGUUGGUCGACCCGGGCGCAAGGGACCGAACAUCAGUAGGGAAGUCGGAGAUGCUCUGUGGCGAGAAAAGCUGUGUGUAUUGAUUAGGCGCCCGUACCGCAAACCGACACAGGUAGAUGAGGAGAGAAUCCUAAGGCCAACGGGAGAAGGGUUGUUAAGGAACUCGGCAAAUUGACCCCGUAACUUCGGGAUAAGGGGAGCCUCCUACGGGAGGCCGCAGUGAAUAGGCCCAAGCAACUGUUUACCAAAAACACAGGUCUCUGCUAAAUCGAAAGAUGACGUAUAGGGGCUGACGCCUGCCCGGUGCUGGAAGGUUAAGAGGAGAUGUUAGCCGCAAGGCGAAGCAUUGAAUCGAAGCCCCAGUAAACGGCGGCCGUAACUAUAACGGUCCUAAGGUAGCGAAAUUCCUUGUCAGGUAAGUUCUGACCCGCACGAAUGGCGUAAUGAUUUGGGCACUGUCUCAACAGCCCGCCCGGCGAAAUUGUAGUACUGGUGAAGAUGCCAGUUACCCGCAACUAGACGGAAAGACCCCAUGGAGCUUUACUGUAGCCUAAUACUGAAGAUCGGUAAUGCAUGUACAGGAUAGGUGGGAGCCAGCGAAACCCGGGCGUCAGCUUGGAUGGAGGCAACCUUGGAAUACCACCCUUGUAUUGCUGGUUUUCUAACCUGCGGCCAUGAAUCUGGUCGGGGGACACUGUUAGGUGGGCAGUUUGACUGGGGCGGUCGCCUCCAAAAGCGUAACGGAGGCGCUCAAAGGUUGGCUCAGCACGGACGGAAAUCGUGCAUAGAGUGCAAACGCAUAAGCCAACUUGACUGCGAGACCGACGGGUCGAGCAGGUACGAAAGUAGGAGUUAGUGAUCCGGUGGUAUGUGAGUGGAAAUGCCAUCGCUCAACGGAUAAAA